rnacentral:rRNA from 1 species
CUAGUUGGUAAGGUAACGGCUUACCAAGGCUACGAUGGGUAGGGGUCCUGAGAGGGAGAUCCCCCACACUGGUACUGAGACACGGACCAGACUCCUACGGGAGGCAGCAGUGAGGAAUAUUGGACAAUGGGCGCAAGCCUGAUCCAGCCAUGCCGCGUGCAGGAUGACGGUCCUAUGGAUUGUAAACUGCUUUUAUACGAGAAGAAACACUGCUUCGUGAAGCAGCUUGACGGUAUCGUAAGAAUAAGGAUCGGCUAACUCCGUGCCAGCAGCCGCGGUAAUACGGAGGAUCCAAGCGUUAUCCGGAAUCAUUGGGUUUAAAGGGUCCGUAGGCGGUUUAGUAAGUCAGUGGUGAAAGCCCAUCGCUCAACGGUGGAACGGCCAUUGAUACUGCUGAACUUGAAUUAUUAGGAAGUAACUAGAAUAUGUAGUGUAGCGGUGAAAUGCUUAGAGAUUACAUGGAAUACCAAUUGCGAAGGCAGGUUACUACUAAUGGAUUGACGCUGAUGGACGAAAGCGUGGGUAGCGAACAGGAUUAGAUACCCUGGUAGUCCACGCCGUAAACGAUGGAUACUAGCUGUUGGGAGCAAUCUCAGUGGCUAAGCGAAAGUGAUAAGUAUCCCACCUGGGGAGUACGUUCGCAAGAAUGAAACUCAAAGGAAUUGACG